rnacentral:rRNA from 1 species
UGGGGGAAUUUUGGACAAUGGGCGAAAGCCUGAUCCAGCAAUGCCGCGUGUGUGAAGAAGGCCUUCGGGUUGUAAAGCACUUUUGUCCGGAAAGAAAUCCUUGGCUCUAAUACAGUCGGGGGAUGACGGUACCGGAAGAAUAAGCACCGGCUAACUACGUGCCAGCAGCCGCGGUAAUACGUAGGGUGCAAGCGUUAAUCGGAAUUACUGGGCGUAAAGCGUGCGCAGGCGGUUGCUAAGACCGAUGUGAAAUCCCCGGGCUCAACCUGGGAACUGCAUUGGUGGCUGGCAGGCUAGAGUAUGGCAGAGGGGGGUAGAAUUCCACGUGUAGCAGUGAAAUGCGUAGAGAUGUGGAGGAAUACCGAUGGCGAAGGCAGCCCCUGGGCCAAUACUGACGCUCAUGCACGAAAGCGUGGGAGCAAACAGGAUUAGAUACCCUGGGUAGUCCACGCCCUAAACGAUGUCAACUAGUUGUUGGGG